rnacentral:rRNA from 1 species
GCCAGACUCCUACGGGAGGCAGCAGUGGGGAAUAUUGCACAAUGGGGGAAACCCUGAUGCAGCAACGCCGCGUGAGUGAGGAAGUAUUUCGGUAUGUAAAGCUCUAUCAGCAGGGAAGAAAAUGACGGUACCUGAGUAAGAAGCCCCGGCUAACUACGUGCCAGCAGCCGCGGUAAUACGUAGGGGGCAAGCGUUAUCCGGAUUUACUGGGUGUAAAGGGAGCGUAGACGGCAGUGCAAGUCUGGAGUGAAAGGCGGGGGCUCACCCCCCGGACUGCUCUGGAACCUGUCCGGCUGGAGUGCAGGAGAGGUAAGUGGAAUUCCUGGUGUAGCGGUGAAAUGCGUAGAUAUUAGGAGGAACCCCAGUGGCGAAGGCGGCUUCCUGGACUGUAACUGACGUUGAGGCUCGAAAGCGUGGGGAGCAAACAGGAU